CCUACGGGUGGCAGCAGUGAGGAAUAUUGGUCAAUGGGCGCGACCCUGAACCAGCCAAGUCGCGUGAGUGAAGAAGUAUUUCGGUAUGUAAAGCUCUAUCAGCAGGGAAGAAAGAAAUGACGGUACCUGACUAAGAAGCCGCGGCUAACUACGUGCCAGCAGCCGCGGUAAUACGUAGGGGGCAAGCGUUAUCCGGAUUUACUGGGUGUAAAGGGAGCGUAGGCGGUUACGCCAGUCUGGGGUGAAAGGCGGGGGCCCAACCCCCGGACUGCUUUGGAAACUGUAGAACUGGAGUGCAGGAGAGGUAAGUGGAAUUCCUAGUGUAGCGGUGAAAUGCGUAGAGAUUAGGAGGAACACCAGUGGCGAAGGCGGCUUACUGGACUGUAACUGACGUUGAGGCUCGAAAGCGUGGGGAGCAAACAGGAUUAGAUACCCUUGUAGUC
rnacentral:rRNA from 1 species